rnacentral:rRNA from 1 species
CGGGUGAGUAACGCGUGAGGAACCUGCCUCAAAGAGGGGGACAACAGUUGGAAACGACUGCUAAUACCGCAUAAGCCCACGGCUCGGCAUCGAGCAGAGGGAAAAGGAGCAAUCCGCUUUGAGAUGGCCUCGCGUCCGAUUAGCUAGUUGGUGAGGUAACGGCCCACCAAGGCGACGAUCGGUAGCCGGACUGAGAGGUUGAACGGCCACAUUGGGACUGAGACACGGCCCAA